CUAAGGCAAAGGUCCACCGGCUCCGACAAGACUGGACCCAAAUCACCCGAUCACCACAUCAAAAGGGACACCUCACCCCCACUGGGCGGCCAGAACCCUGCAGCCAAAUUCCAGCGACAAGGCCUGACUUCCUCAAGACACAGAUGCAUCCUACAAUCGCUAACUCACACUAACACAGGAGGACCCGAUGUGACUGCCCAAGCUGAUUUACGGUGAAUACCGGCUAAACCUCUGAGGCAGGCACAAGGUCAGAUACGAGUUCCCCUAACAUUGGGCCAAGAUCGCACUGCCAGCAGGGCCUGAUUCAGAGCCGAGAUAACAACAGAAAACGCUGCAGUUUGAUGGCAUGAGAGGCUGGCUGAGAAACCCCUACCUUUACUUUAGGUUUUCUGCUUUGAGUCCAGUGGGGAGCUCACUCUGCGCUCCUCCCCCGGGGCACUGGCCGCCCACAGAGCCCUCGUGGGUCAAACUCGGACGGGUACCCCGAGCCAGGCCAAGGAUCCAGCGGCGGUCUUGAUGGAGUACCUGCUCCCCCAGCAGUGCUUGGACCUGACUCCCCACAUGGGGCCCCUCAUGUCCUGGAGAGCUUGGAGGGUGAGGGCUUUGAAGAGGCAGGGCCAGAAGAGGAGCAUGACUUCACCGACAGCCUCCUCACUCUGCACUCCUCAGUGUGCGCAGGGAAGGAAAGCCUGAAGCGCUGCCUGCUGGGCCAAGGCACCAGGCCUGCACAGUGGCUCACGUGAGCAGACUUUUGGAGGCCAUCUGCUUGGAGCUCGGCUUUCUUCACCCAGCUGGCCAGAAGAUCGCUGGGAAGCAUUCUUUUGCAAUGGGAUACGUCUAUUUGGCUGCAGUGUGUUGGUGAGAUAUCACAUUCCCAAAGGAACAUUCAUUUAAAAAUGCAGACGCAUUCUGUGUACAACAACAGAUAUAAAAAAACACGAUGCUAAGUCCAAAUGCCUACAUUUACUGUCUUACGCAUUAAGGAAUAAAAUACUGGUGAGUUACUUUUGGUUUAAUUUAUGUUUGUGUUUAAAAUGAAGAAGAAAAUUCACACAUUUCACAGCAAAACAAGUGUUAAAGAAAUUAAUUGUUUUUGCUGCCAAAAAUUAUAUUGUAAUACACUUUUAAAGGAAGCUGUCUUUCAGCAUUUAAAUAACUACUGUGUCUGCUGGGACAGUAGGGCCCUGUGAUCUUAAUAUUAAAGUAUUUGUUUUUAAUCACUCAUGUAGCGUUGAUGCUGCAAGGGAAGUUGCAUCACUGGGGAGACUCGUGAAUGAUGAUAAAAAACCAAAUUCAACAAUCAUGAAGAUGGAGGUGGAUGACACCUCUCAUCUUUGCCUUUAUGCCAUUAUGGACUUGGCCAAGAUGUGACAUAUGACUGCACUGGCAUUCUUGCCACUUAAGGGCACAAUCAAAGCUAUGGUUUAGCUUUCAAAAUGAAGUUUAGGAAAUAUGCAUGAUUGUGAACUAUGAUAUGUUUAAUUUCAUAAAAUAUGCAGCCAUAAAACAGUCAUAAAAUAUGAAUAUAGUGUUAAAUUCCAACAGUCAUCAGCAAUCAUGAAAUUCACGUAACGUUCAUACAUUUAAGAAUAACUGCAGUUUGGUCUUUAUUGAUGAA